UUGGUGGUGAGGGUGGUGAACCAGAAGCUGGGGUAGGUGCAGGUGGUGAUGGACCAGAAGCUGGAGUAGGAGUGCUAGGUUGAGGAGCAGGAGUAGAAGGUUGAGGAGCAGGAGUGCUAGGUUGAGGAGCAGGAGUGCUAGGUUGAGGAGAAGGAGAAGGUUGAGGAGUUGGAGUAGAAGGUUGAGGAGCAGGAGAAGAUGUCUGAGGAGUUGGAGUAGAAGGUUGAGGAGCAGGAGAAGAUGUCUGAGGAGCUGGAGAAGGAGAAGAAGAUGCAGCACUAACAUUGAUCAUCAUCUUUUGACCAGCAGAGCAAUGGCCAGUAAAAUUGCAAAUGAAAUAGUGCUCUCCUGAAGCGUCAAGGUUGAUUCU
rnacentral:lncRNA from 1 species